UCCCUCUGACUGGCCGAUGGGAGGUUAUAAACACGGAAUUCCCCUGUUUGUAGAACCAUUAAGUCUCCAACAAUACAGCUAGUCCUCCAGAGGCUCAGCGGAGACGGACGGAUGCAGGUCUCUUCGGGUUGGAGCAUGCAGUAAUUAAACACAUCCAUCAGAUCAUGACAGUGUUGUCAGGAACGGCACACCGGGGGAACCAGACAAUGAUUGGGGUACCCAUGACAACCGUGAGGUAAAACAAAGGUGUCUCGUUUCCUGGCAGCCACUGGUUUUCCGAUCCAUUCACAUCCAUUCAUAUAUGAAACUUGCUUCAGAGAGCCAAUCCAUCACAAUGGCAACACACUCUCCUGUGUUCGGUAAUAGGUGGAUGUUUAUUUUUCUUGAAAGAGGCGUCAACCCUUUAUAAACAAUGGUAAGUUCAGCAAAGGGUGGAGUCAGUUAUAAUCCAUGUUACAUCUGCAGCUUAAGUCAUUUUGGAAUUUCUAAUUUGUGGACGAUUCAAAGUGAGUAAACAUUGAGAUUAAGCACCCAUUAAGUCUGCACCUGGAGUAGUAGAAAGAAGGCAGCAUGAUUAUAUCUCACUGCUAUCACCUAUUAAUUAUUGAAUUCUUAUUUUCAUAAAUAAAUAUCAUUUAAAAUCCA